CGUACAAACUGGCCGGCUAAAAGCGGCAACGUCCUGUUGCAACGCAUGUCUGACCACGUCCUGUGGC
rfam:Bacillus thermoamylovorans genome assembly, strain 1A1, contig: A1A_CC100